UGACUAGUUAUUUCAUCUCACAGUAAAUUGGAUUGUGUGUGAAGAGGUUCAACAGUGUAAGUCAUUAAACAGUGAUCUGAUGUGUUGUUUCCUUUCUCUAGGAUACUGAUCUGGUCGUCGCAAGUCUGAGUGAACAGAUCUUUGGCUUUGCCUUUGCUGGUGACCUGCUGCAGAAGAUCCUCUCUCUCUAUCAUUAUAAGCAAUUCUGUCUAUCCUAUCACUCUCCCAACUCUAUCUAAUUUGACAGCCAUUCUAUCUUGUAUCCCUCUCUCUACUGCUCUAUCUAAUUUGACAGCCAUUCUA